AUUUUUCCUGGGAAUUUUCCAGUUGAUGAAAAUGUUAAGAGGCCAGCUGCAGAGCUCUGGUAAAUAUCAACUUCAUCUUUCAGCAAUAGUUAAUUAACACCAUUCAUUGGCUGCCAUUGACUACAGUGAACAUGAGAAACAAAUUUGGAGAUCACACAGUGAAUUAGUUCUUUCUUGCAUCAUAAAGCCAUCGAUGUCUCAUAUGCGAGUAAAAUUCAGACAGCGGCCGAUCCUGUAAAAGCACAAGGUAUGGUAUGUAGUUAAGCAUAUGAAUCCUCAUUAUGGACUAUUUUUAGAUUUGCUUUAAUGUUUGCAUCAUCUUUUCUCCUUUUUUCUGUUCCUGUACAUUUUUACUCCUGUGCUAGAAGAUAUGAUUGUUUUGUAAAUGGUACGUGCAGUGUUAAAGUGUCACCUUUAACAAUCUGGAUAUUUCACAAUCCAAAAGCAUGUACAUCACAUACAUCAUAAUGGAACAUAGGACUAAUUUGCAGCUUCUUUAUGUCUCUCUAGACAAUGCCCUGAGCCACAAUUUCCAUGAGAAAGCACUUCAACUACCAUGAGAUGGUAGUCAAAGGUCUCCUGCAUGCACCUCACUUAACACCAGACAUAUGUUUCACACAAAUUUUGGUAGUCAAAGGUCUCCUGCAAAUUUUGGUUUGUAGUUGCUUCCUUUUGUUGGUGAUAUAGAGCAAAUAAUAUUUACAAUUGCAUAUUAUUAUGGAUUGAUAGUUGCCCAUUUUUUGCAGACAUGUGUUGAGCAUGAAAGUUUUGGCUUUAGUUUUGCCCAAGUCAGUAGUCUUGUGCAUCCCUAGUAUGUAAACUUCCUUGUAUCCAAUUUACUUGUAUGGCACUUCUUUUGGAACCCAAAGCCCCCCCAACUCCUGCACUUGCAUCACAAGGCUGUUUGGUAUAGAGAUCUGAUAGAAUAGUUCCAUAUGCAAAUGUAUGAUAUAAGAUGAGAAUUGAUAGGACUUUUGAGGAUUCCAGCAUUGCAAUUAUGUAAGCUUUGUCAUAAAGGUGACCAAUGUUUUUUAUUUUUCUGGCCUUGACUUCUUGACUUAGAGGGAGAGCAUACACCAAGCCAAUUCUGCCAUCCCCCUCAAUAGCUGGCAAUGUCCCCAGUGUCAGAAUAAGAUACCAGCAUACAUGGUCUUAGCAUAAAACAGACGUUUCAUGACCUGUUCUUAACUACUGUUUGAGGAUCCAAGAUGUUAUUUAUUACAUGUGUAAUAAUAAAUCAAAGUGAGUAGAGAAAAAUAAAAGGAAAAAAACAA
rnacentral:lncRNA from 1 species